GACAUCCUUUUUCGCUAGAGCUUGGGUUUGUGUUGAGAGCUACGGUGAAAGAGAAAAUGAGCCGAGUCAACUAUAAAUCUCUUAAACAUGUUGUGUCUCUGUAACGAAUCUAUUUCGUGGAGCUAAUGCAGAUGGAUGAGAUGUGUUUGGUAAUGGGUGGAGCAUGGGUUUGUGGUUUCUGUGGGAAUGGGAGUUCGUGGUGGACAAAAAAUAUGGUCGGAUUGGGGUUUUCAGGUGUGUUGUGGAUGGGACACUCGUGGUUAGUGUGAUUGUUGUAGUGGUCGGAUGUGUUGUGGAUGGGACUCUCGUUGUUAGGAGGAGUGUUGUUGUGGUCGGGAGUGUUGUUCAAGGCUCUGGUGGUCAAUGUGUGAAUGGAUGCCGAUGUUGGCAACAGUGCCAGUGUGAUCUUGUAGGCUUUGGUCGGGGUGGAGGUAGUGUUGUGCGGCAUAUUGGCUAAUGAUAGGGGAGUGGCUUCCAAGUGAUUCUUGUUUCUCCGGCUGAAUUGGGACCUGAGAAAAAAAUAAAAAGAGUCGGUGAAAGAGUGCUUGCAUUAUGAAGCGCCAUGUUGUGUAAGUGUCUAGAGUGAAAUCUCACCAGGAUGUCGGGCGCAGUUUUCAUCGGCUGUUCGGCUGUAUGGUUUUGAAGUUUUGUUAAUUUAGUUUAACGGCUUUAACCCUUUCACUAAUAGAUCUUUCUUUUGGUUCUUAACAAAAAGUAUCUGAAAAAAAUUGAUUGUAUCAUAAAAAAAGAAAUACAAACGUUUACAAAAUGCAAAAACUAUCAUCUUAUAUGAAUCUCGUAAAUACCCAGAACAUGGAAGACGUAUGCGGGAUCUUCUUUGUUAUUCAUAUCUCAUCUGAUCACCUCUUAUCUGACCACUACGCACUUGACC
rnacentral:lncRNA from 1 species